CGCGAAAGUUGCGGUGGGCGGGGGUUGCGGCGCAGGCCCAGGUCCGGCCGACUUUCUCCAAGGGCGCUCGGACUUUGGGGAGCCCUUCUCCCUGGGGGAGCGACCUCGCCCGUGGAGUGAUGGCCGGGCGUCCCCCCGGGUGCCUUUGGUCCUCCGUGGAGGUCAGGAGGUGGUCCCUGUCGCGCUGGGCGCCCUCGCAUGGCCGUUCGGUAACGACAGACUCGGGAGAGGGCACCGGGCUGGGCCGAAGCUUACUGAGCCCCCUUGGCCCAUCAAGCCGCCCCGGCGGGAUACCCGAGGCUGAGGCUGAAGGCACACGGGCCCAGGACUCCCAGAGCCCUCUUCCUGUCCUCCGCCCUGGCCGGGGGCCCAUAGGAAGACCCCCGACCCUGCAUAAAGGCCAGGAUUCCCCAGCUUUUGGCCAAAGUCCUGGCCACUCGCAGCUGCCCAGCGGGCAGUUCCUGGCGUCCAGGGCGGAAUGCGUGACAUGAGUGAGGGCAGGAAGGUGCUCUCCGGCCCAGGGUCGCAGCCGGCCCCGGUGCUGAUCCGCCCUGAUCUCCCUUCUAGGCCACACCCUGGGUGGUGGGGGCGCGGUCUGUCCAGCUGGCAACGUGUGACGGUAGGAGGGGCUUCAAGGACAAACAGAUUCUGCAACUGAAAUUAUAUGGAUCCUGGCUCAGCUGCCGGGAACCGCGGGUUUUCACUGCUGAUUCACUGGGGGACACCAGGUGGCUCCCUCAGCAAGAAGGGGGCCUCUGUCCUCACGGUCCUGGGCCUGCCUGCUCUGGCCAAGAGGACCAGCCAGGUCUGGGACCCAGGCAGCCGCCCGCCAACAAUGCCAUGGGUACCUGCUGCCCCCUGGUGGUGCUGUCACCACGGGGCACCUGGCUGCACCCAGGAGGGGCUGCACAGAAAAUCUGGGGUUGACCGUUGAGAAGACCCAACUCAGGAGACACAGACUUCACCACAGUGGCCCUGAGCCACUCAGGCCUCCCUGGUUCCCAGGUCCUGAUCGGCAUAGGACAUUCACCGGCCCUGUGCACCUCCCAGAAUCCUUGGAGGCUCUGAGGGCAGGAUGGAUGUGAAUCAAAGAACAAAAGUUUGGUGGGGCCAGGUACAGCAGCUCAAGCCUGUAGUCCCAGCACUUUGGGAGGCUCAGGCAGGCAGAUGGCUUGAGUCCAGGAGUUCAAGACCAGCCUGGGCAACACAGUGGGUCCCUGUCUCAAAAAUAAAAUAAAAGGUAAAGAAAAUGGGGCAGGAGCUCCCUUUGUAACCUUUAGUGUGAGUGUAAUGAUGAACAGGUUGAGACUGUGGACUCAAGGCACAUGCCAGGAAGACUAAUAGAGAGGACGCUGUUUGGGAAAAUCCUACCACCAUCCAUGUCCACUUGGACUCAGGGCUGUCUGCCAGGACUGCCUGCUGCACACCUCCAGGGGGCGAGAGUCCCAUCACACCUUGGAGAUGGGCUCCAGGGGGAGCUGCUUACACAGACUGCCAGUGAGCAGCUGCCAGUCCAGCCGAGCAGAUUAAACCAGGGAGCAAGAAGUGCCAGCAUGGGCCACAUACCCCAAGUAUGGGGGAGGGUCACAGGUGGCGGAGGAGGGCACCAGGCAGGGCACACCCGGGGAGGGAGCAGCAAGGCUUCCAGGAGAAACUGAGGUUUGAGUUGACAACCAGAGAUUGAUCAUGGUUGCAGUGACUAGGAGAGGGUGACAUGGAGGAUGGAGAGCUUGGACAGGAGUUGAUUUUUAAACCACAAAGGAAUUCAGUGUUGCCAUGAUCUCAGGCAUUGAACAAUAAACCGCAGUGUCCUCCUGAGCUCCUGUCUCAUUCUCCCCGGCAGCCAUGUGGGCAGCGAGUCCCAGCAGUCCACCUUCCUGUUCUGUCCAGCAUCUGCCCCCUCCUGGCCCACCCCCACCAAGCCCCAGGCCCCCUCUCCUUGGACCCGCUUCCACCCUUCCACCUGUCCUCCGCAGCCAGCAAGGACCCAGUCGGCCCUCAGUGACACCCUGUCUCUCUUCUGCGCGGAUGGGCACCUCGGGGCUCCCGCCUCACUGGAGGUAAAAUCUAGCAAAUCACUGUAAUUGUAAUUUUUAAAUCCAAUAUAUUCUUUCAUGGAAGCCACAGAUGCGUUAAACUGAUCCAAAGACAGCUUAUAAAAGGCAAUGUAAUCGGAGGCUGGACGUGGUGGCUCAUGCCUGUAAUCCCAGCACUUUGGGAGGCUGAGGCGGGUGGAUCCCUUGAGUCCAGGAGUUCAAGACCAGCCUAGGCAACAAGGUGAAACGCUGUCUCCACCAAAAUACAAAAAUUAGCCUGGCAUGGUGGUGCACGCCUAUAGUCCCAGCUACUUGGGAGGCUGAGGUGGGAGGAUCACUUGAGCCCAGGAGGCAGAGGUUGCAUCGAGUCGAGAUCGUACCACUGCACUCCAGCCUGGGUGACAAAGUGAGACCCCAUCUCAAAAAAAAUAAAAAAUAAAAGGCAAUAUAAUCUUAUUUAUUGACUUGUGGCAUAUUUUAACACUAUCGCUAUGUGAAUUAACG
rnacentral:lncRNA from 10 species